rnacentral:lncRNA from 1 species
ACCCCUGCCUCGCAGCCAUCUCGUGGCCGGCUCGCCCCAGGGCGCGCCCUCUCCGGUCCGGGCUGGCGAAGGGCGCCCCCUUGUCUGACGCAGCGCGCAGGGCACCCCGCCGGCCUUCGGGGCGCGGCGCCGCACGCGUCCGAGGGGCGCUUGGCUGCGGCCAGGGCGGGUUCUCGGCCGCGACCGCCGCCCUUCUGGCCGAGCGAAGCCCCGGGAGCCCCCGACGCCCGCGUGGAAAAGUGGCCCCGAGAGGGCGCCCCGGCCCGCCGCCGCUUCGCCCGAAGUUGCGGGAGCCGGAGCCCGGCGGCGGGCUGGGGCGGCGCGACGCGCGGCAGCCCGAGGAGGACUGUCCUCGGGCAACUCGCUCUGGGAGACAGAAGAAGAGAGACCACACCUUGAAGUCAGCAGGGCUACAAGACUUAGAAGGAGCCAAGGUCCUGGAGCCACUGGCUGGCUGCGAGCUGCCAAUGACAUUGUAACAUAAGCAAAACGGAAACUUUUGUGGUGUUAAGCCUCUGAGAUACUGGGUUUCUUGUUGCAACAUCUAGUGUUAAUGGCCCUGACUGGUACACUUCUCCAUGGAUUUAAACUGCACUAUACUCCAGACUGUUCUUUGUACUUUUUAAAAACAGGCUUAUUGUGGUCUAAUUGACUUAAAAUUAACUGCACAUAUUGAAAGUAUACUAUUUGAUAAGUUUUGACAUAUUUGUAUCCCCAUGAAACUGUGGCCACAAUAGUUUUGCAUUUCCUAAUGCUUAUAUAAAUUCAACAGUUUGCAUUUCCUAAAAGCUUAUAUAAAUGGACCAAUACAGUAUAUAGUCUUUUGUCUGACGUCUUUCACUCAGCAAAAUGAUUUUGAGAUUCAUCUGUUUUGAUGGGUGUAUCAAUGGUUUGUUCCAUUUCAUUGCUAAAUAGUAUUUUGAUAGUAGUACCCAAUGAAUAAACCACAUCUGUUUAUCCAUUUUUAUGUUGAUGAACGUUUGGGUUGUCUUUUGGAUUAACCCAAGGACAUUAAGAUUUUCUCUUGUGCUUUCCUUUAGAAUUUUUCUGGUGUUAGCUCUUACAGUUAGCCCUAUAAUCCAGUGGUGUGGGGUACUGAGUUGCGGUUCAUAUUUUUACAUAUGGCUAUCCAACUGUUCUAGCACCAUUUGUUAAAAAGAUUAUUCAUUCCCUAUGGAAUUGCCUUGGCGUCCUUGUUAAAAAUCAAUUGGCUAUACAUAUGUGAGUCUAUUUCUGGACUCUAUUCUGUUCCUUUGAUGUAUAUCUUUAUAUAUAUAUAUACAAAUUUACAUUGAUGUAUGUCUUUACACCAAUAUCACACUG